rnacentral:rRNA from 1 species
UACGUGCCAGCAGCCGCGGUCAUACGUAGGGUCCAAGCAUUAUCCGGAUUGACUGGGUGUAAAGAGUUGCGUAGGUGGCAGGGUAAGUAGAUAGUGAAAUCUGGUGGCUCAACCAUUCAGACUAUUAUCUAAACUGCUCCGCUCGAGAGCGUUAGGGGUAGCUGGAAUUUCUAGUGUAGGAGUGAAAUCCGUAGAUAUUAGAAAGAACACCGAUAGCGUAGGCAGGCUACUGGGACGUUUCUGACACUAAGGCACGAAAGCGUAGGGAGCAAACGGGAUUAGAUACCCCGGUAGUCUACGCUGUAAACGAUGGAUACUAGCAGUUUCGGGUAUCGACCCCUGGAGUUGCGAAGCUAACGCGUUAAGUAUCCCACCUGUGUAGUACGAUCGCAAGAUUAAAACAUAAAGGAAUUGACGGGGACCCGCACAAGCGGUGGAGCGUGAUCUUUAAUUCGAUGGUAAACGAUAAACCUUACCAAGGCUUGACAUCUCGGGAAGGCUUCCGAAAGGAAUCUGUGCCCUCGGGAACCCGAAGACAGGUGAUGCAUGGCCGUCGUCAGCUCGUGUCGUGAGAUGUUUGGUUAAGUCCAUCAACGAGCGCAACCCUUGCAACCAGUUGGAUUUUUCUGGUAGGACUGCCCCGGUAACGGGGAGGAAGGAGGGGAUGAUGUCAGGUCAGUAUUUCCCUUACGCCUUGGGCUAGAAUCGCGCUACAAUGGCCGGUACAAUGCGAAGCGAAGCAGUGAUGUGAAGCAAAUCGCACCAAAGCCGGUCCCAGUUCGGAUAGAAGGCUGAAACUCGCCUUCUUGAAGUCGGAAUCGCUAGUAAUCGCAGAUCAGCAUGUUGCGGUGAAUACGUUCCCGGGUCUUGCACACACCGCCCG